rnacentral:rRNA from 1 species
GGCGAACGGGUGAGUAACACGUGAGUAACCUGCCCUUGACUCUGGGAUAAGCGCUGGAAACGGCGUCUAAUACCGGAUACGAGCUUCAGCCGCAUGGCUAGGAGUUGGAAAGAAUUUCGGUCAAGGAUGGACUCGCGGCCUAUCAGCUAGUUGGUGAGGUAAUGGCUCACCAAGGCGACGAUCCGUAACUGGUCUGAGAGGAUGAUCAGUCACACUGGAACUGAGACACGGUCCAGACUCCUACGGGAGGCAGCAGCGGGG